AGUGAACGCUGGCGGUAGGCCUAACACAUGCAAGUCGAACGGCAGCACAGUAAGAGCUUGCUCUUACGGGUGGCGAGUGGCGGACGGGUGAGGAAUACAUCGGAAUCUACUUUUUCGUGGGGGAUAACGUAGGGAAACUUACGCUAAUACCGCAUACGACCUACGGGUGAAAGCAGUGGAUCUUCGGACCUUGCGCGAUUGAAUGAGCCGAUGUCGGAUUAGCUAGUUGGCGGGGUAAAGGCCCACCAAGGCGACGAUCCGUAGCUGGUCUGAGAGGAUGAUCAGCAACACUGGAACUGAGACACGGUCCAGACUCCUACGGGAGGCAGCAGUGGGGAAUAUUGGAAAAUGGGCGCAAGCCUGAUCCAGCCAUACCGCGUGGGUGAAGAAGGCCUUCGGGUUGUAAAGCCCUUUUGUUGGGAAAGAAAAGCAGCAGGUUAAUACCCCGCUGUUCUGACGGUACCAAAAGAAUAAGCACCGGCUAACUUCGU
rnacentral:rRNA from 1 species